rnacentral:rRNA from 1 species
GAUGAACGCUGGCGGCGUGCCCAAUACAUGCAAGUCGAGCGAACGGACGAGAAGCUUGCUUCUCUGAUGUUAGCGGCGGACGGGUGAGUAACACGUGGAUAACCUACCUAUAAGACUGGGAUAACUUCGGGAAACCGUAGCUAAUACCGGAUAAUAUUUUGAACCGCAUGGUUCAAAAGUGAAAGACGGUCUUGCUGUCACUUAUAGAUGGAUCCGCGCUGCAUUAGCUAGUUGGUAAGGUAACGGCUUACCAAGGCAACGAUGCAUAGCCGACCUGAGAGGGUGAUCGGACACACUGGAACUGAGACACGGUCCAGACUCCUACGGGAGGCAGCAGUAGGGAAUCUUCCGCAAUGGGCGAAAGCCUGACGGAGCAACGCCGCGUGAGUGAUGAAGGUCUUCGGAUCGUAAAACUCUGUUAUUAGGGAAGAACAUAUGUGUAAGUAACUGUGCACAUCUUGACGGUACCUAAUCAGAAAGCCACGGCUAACUACGUG